rnacentral:rRNA from 1 species
UACGGAAGGCAGCAGUGGGGAAUAUUGCACAAUGGGCGCAAGCCUGAUGCAGCCAUGCCGCGUGUAUGAAGAAGGCCUUCGGGUUGUAAAGUACUUUCAGUCGUGAGGAAGGUGUUAAGGUUAAUAACCUUAGCAAUUGACGUUAGCGACAGAAGAAGCACCGGCUAACUCCGUGCCAGCAGCCGCGGUAAUACGGAGGGUGCGAGCGCUAAUCGGAAUUACUGGGCGUAAAGGGCACGCAGGCGGUUAAUUAAGUUGGAUGUGAAAUCCCCGGGCUUAACCUGGGAAUGGCAUUCAAGACUGGUUAGCUAGAGUCUUGUAGAGGGGGUAGAAUUCCAUGUGUAGCGGUGAAAUGCGUAGAGAUGUGGAGGAAUACCGGUGGCGAAGGCGGCCCCUGGGACAAAGACUGACGCUCAUGUGCGAAAGCGUGGGGAGCAAACAGGAUUAGGAUACC